rnacentral:rRNA from 1 species
UCGCCUGCAUGAAGUUGGAAUUGCUAGUAAUCGCGAAUCAGAAUGUCGCGGUGAAUACGUUCCCGGCCUUGUACACACCGCCCGUCAAGCCAUGAAAGCCGGGGGUACCUGAAGUACGUAACCGCAAGGAUCGUCCUAGGGUAAAACUGGUAAUUGGGGCUAAGUCGUAACAAGGUACC